UACGUAGGGGCUAGCGUUAUCCGGAAUUACUGGGCGUAAAGGGUGCGUAGGCGGUCUUUCAAGCCAGAAGUGAAAGGCUACGGCUCAACCGUAGUAAGCUUUUGGAACUGUAAGACUUGAGUGCAGGAGAGGAGAGUGGAAUUCCUAGUGUAGCGGUGAAAUGCGUAGAUAUUAGGAGGAACACCAGUUGCGAAGGCGACUCUCUGGACUGUAACUGACACUGAGGCACGAAAGCGUGGGGAGCAAACAGGAUUAGAUACCCCGGUAGUCCCUGAG
rnacentral:rRNA from 1 species